GCUUAAAACCUAGCCCUACCACCCCCAAAUGACCAACCCUAAAAACCCGUCAAUAAACAAAACAUUCUUCAACCAAGUAAAGGCGAUUAAAAAGUAUCUAGGAGCCUUAACACUAGUACCGCAAGGGAAAGGUGAAAUAGAAAUGAAAUAAACUUAAAGCCCAACAAAGUAGAGACUCCCCCUCGUACCUUUUGCAUCAUGAUCUAACUAGCACAACCAAGCAAAACGAACUUUAAGUUUGACACCCCGAAACUAGACGAGCUACUUCAAAACAGCCUUCACGAGCCAACCCUUCUCUGUUGCAAAAGAGUGGGAAGAUUUUCAAGUAGAGGUGAUAAGCCUACCGAGCCUAGAGAUAGCUGGUUAUUCAGGAAACGGAUGUAAGUCCAACCUUAAGUCUCCCCAUAACAUUAAAUAUUCUAAUAGACUUAAAUUUUAUUCAAAUAAGGUACAGCCUAUUUGAAAUAGGAUACAACCUAUCAUACAGGGUAAUGUCUUAAUCAACGUGAUCAAGUAGGCCUAAGAGCAGCCACCUUUUAAAAAGCGUUAUAGCUUUAUCACACCCACACCACUAAUUCCACCCAAAAAUCAAAACCCUUUACCCAUACUGAAUGACCCCAUAUACUUAUGGAAAACCUUAUGUUAGAACUAGUAACAAGAAUAGCCAUUCUCCUAUAAAUGCGAAUGUAAACCGGCCUGAACCACUCACCGGCCCCUAUCGCCAAUGAAUUAAUAGUAACAACCUAUACAAGAAAACCCUACUCACUCAAGCGUUAACCUUACACUAGAGCUUUUCAGGAACGAUUAAAAAAGGGGGAAGGAACUCGGCAAAUUUUAACCCCGCCUGUUUACCAAAAACAUCGCCUUCUGCAAAUCAUAGAAGGUCCAGCCUGCCCAGUGAUAAACUUAAACGGCCGCGGUACCUUAACCGUGCAAAGGUAGCACAAUCACUUGUUUUUUAAAUAAGGACUAGUAUGAACGGCACUACGAGGGUUCUACUGUCUCCCCCCUUUAAUCAGUGAAACUAAUCUCCCCGUGAAGAAGCCGGGAUAACUCUAUAAGACGAGAAGACCCCAUGGAGCUUUAAACUAAGUACCACUUGCACGCCACAACAUCACCGAAACUCAGCAAGUCUGACACACUAGUUUUUGGUUGGGGUGACCGCGGAGCAAAACAAAACCUCCAUGACGAAAGGAGCUUACUCUCCUAAUCAAAGGGCCACCACCCAAAGAAUCAAUACAUUGACUUAAAUUGAUCCAAUACCUUGAACAACGAACCAAGUUACCCUGGGGAUAACAGCGCAAUCCAUUUCAAGAGCCCCUAUCGACAAAUGGGUUUACGACCUCGAUGUUGGAUCAGGGUGUCCCAGUGGUGCAGCCGCUACUAAAGGUUCGUUUGUUCAACGAUUAAAACCCU
rnacentral:rRNA from 1 species